rnacentral:lncRNA from 1 species
AUGACUUAUUUGACAGACAAUUCACAAACUUCUGAGACCUACCGCUUUGCACUUUCUUUGGCAGGAAAUGAGUCAUCGGCAAGUUCCUGGUCGUGCAAAGACUCAGUUGGAAAUUGGUCCAGGGAGGUGCAACAUCUCUGCUUUAUAAGUCCACCAGGCCUGAGGCUGCUUCUGCAGUGUUGGGUGUCCAUCUCAUCUUGCAGUGUGUGGUCCUCAUGAGGAUGGUCAAAGCUGGCUUACUCCCACCACGUCUAUAUCCAUCACACACUGAACAGAGGAAAGAUGGAAAGAGUAUGUAAACUUUUUUAUUUUUUAAGAACAUAACCCACAAGUUUCACACACCAAUUCCACUCAUCCAUUGCCCAGACCUCUGUCAUAUUGCAAUAGGCGGUACAGAGAAGUCCAGGAAAUGUAGCCUCUGGGAGAAGGGCCAUAUCCAUGAGGAAGAGUGGAUGGUUGUUUUCCUAAAAGGAAGAAGGGUAGAAUGGCUAUUAGGGGAAAACUAUCAGCCUUAUCAAAUAGGCAGCUAAAUCUUGAAAAGGACUUUAGUUUUAUAGAGCAGGAAAUUAAUUCUAUUAUGAUACUAUCAUUUUUCUACGACCUGCAAUCAGCCUUAGCUUAUUCUCUGGAAUUCAUUCCUACUUCCUGACACAACCUCUACAAGACAGAAUUUGGUAUAUUUGGAGGAACCCUAUCUGCUCCCAAAUAUUUUUCUGCAACCUGGCUUUCAUAGCUUCUGAAAUUUUCAUUAAUUCUUUAAAGAAAGAAAUGUAUAUUUUGAGUUAGAUUGACCCAAAUUUGAAACCCACUAUCUGGUGACCUUAAGGAAAUGCCUUAAUAUCUUCGAAUAUUCAUUUUCUUCUUUACAAAAUGGAGUGGUAUUACCUCCUUACAUGGGAUUUAGGAAUACUAUUUGAAAGCCCUAUGGAGUGUAAGUAUUAAUGUAUCUUCAGAUAACUCAUUUAAAUACUGAAGUAGGAGCGGAAACAAAUCUGACUAGCAUCCAUGAGGACACAGGUUCAAUUCCUGGCCUCACUCAGUGGGUUAAGGAUCUGUCAUUGCCGUGACCUGUGGUGUAGGUUGCAGAAGUGGCUUGAAUCUGGAUUUGCCGUGACUGUGGCAUAAGCCAGCAGCUACAGCUCUGAUUUGACCCCUGGCCUAGGAAUCUCCAUAUGCUGUAGGUGUGGUCCUAAAAAGGCAAAAAAAAAAAAAAAAACCUUAAGUAUAUAUUAAUAAAUUAAGGUAAUAUCUGUAAAAUAUGCUUAGA